rnacentral:rRNA from 1 species
GUCGGGACCUGCCCAGUGAAUAUAUUUUUAACGGCCGCGGUACUCUGACCGUGCAAAGGUAGCAUAAUCAUUUGCCUUAUAAUUGAAGGCUAGUAUGAAUGGUUUGACGUGAACAAAGCUGUCUCUACAUAAUUUUUUAGAACUUGAUCUCUAGGUGAAGAAUCCUAGAUGAUAUUGAAAGACAAGAAGACCCUAUUGAGCUUUAAAAAAAUGAAUUGAAGAAAUAUAUAAUUUUAAAUAUUAAUCUAUUUUAGAUUUUGGUUGGGGCGACUAUAGAACAAACAAAGCUUCUUUAUAUUAACAAGACUAGCAGGUGUUGAUCCAAAAAUUUUGAUUAAUGGAAUUAGUUACCAUAGGGAUAACAGCAUAAUUCUCUUUGAGAGCUCUUAUCGAAAAGAGGGUUUGUGACCUCGAUGUUGGAUUAGAAUAUCCUAAAGAUGCAGCAGUCUUUAAGGGUUGGUC